AAGGUGGAUUUGAUAGUAAUUUGACAUAUUUAAUUUAAUUGAUAUUGGCUCUGAGGUGUGUACACAUCGCCCGUCGCUCUCAUUAUUGAAAUUUUUCAUAUAAAUUGUUUAAUUUUAAAUUAGAUGAGAUAAGUCGUAACAUAGUAGAUGUACUGGAAAGUGUAUCUAGAAAGAAUUU
rnacentral:rRNA from 1 species